rnacentral:snRNA from 1 species
GGAUGUGAGGGCGAUCUGGCUGCGACAUCUGUCACCCCAUUGAUCGCCAGGGUUGAUUCGGCUGAUCUGGCUGGCUAGGCGGGUGUCCCCUUCCUCCCUCACCGCUCCAUGUGCGUCCCUCCCGAAGCUGCGCGCUCGGUCGAAGAGGACGACCAUCCCCGAUAGAGGAGGACCGUUCUUCGGUCAAGGUAUACGAGUAGCUGCGCUCCCCUGCUAGAACCUCCAAACAAGCUCUCAAGAGAUGAUAUUAUAAUUCCUUGUAAGACAAAGAAAGGUAUUUCCAUUGUCCUAUGGUUUCUAAACAGCCAUUAUUUUUUCUUUUGUAACUUGUUCUAAU